AGAUUCAUGUUUUGUCUUUUUUCAUUUUCAUCGUUUCAAAGCCACCCACGAAGCCCUUCUUCUAUAACCUUCCAGAAUUAUCUAUCAUCUAAAUCCCUACAACCCGACCUUUUCUCUGUAUUCUCUGUUCUUCAAAUUUUCUUCGAAAUUUUCCUAUGUCUUGGAUGAACCUGUUUAUCACUGAAACCGCCAUUUUUUUUUUGUUACUUGCCUUUUUUGUAUUUCUAGAUUAAGAUUGGGUAUUGUUUCAGGGGAAAAUGGGCCGUUCAAGCCGCACGCUCUAUGUGGGCAAUCUGCCUGGGGAUACUCGUAUGAGGGAAGUUGAAGAUUUAUUUUACAAGUAUGGACCCAUUGUUGAUAUUGACUUGAAGAUCCCACCAAGGCCCCCUGGUUAUGCAUUUGUUGAGUUUGAGGAUCCUCGUGAUGCUGAAGAUGCAAUUCGUGGUCGAGAUGGUUAUAACUUUGAUGGGAAUCGUCUAAGGGUUGAACUUGCUCAUGGUGGGCGAAGACCUUCAUCUGUGGAUCGUUAUAGUAGUUACAGUGGUAGCAGUAGCCGUGGGCCUUCCAGGCGCUCUGACUAUCGUGUUUUGGUGACUGGUUUACCUUCUUCUGCUUCAUGGCAAGACCUAAAGGAUCACAUGCGAAAAGCUGGGGAUGUCUGUUUCUCUCAAGUGUUUCGUGAUCGUGGAGGCAUGACAGGGAUUGUAGAUUACACGAACUAUGAUGAUAUGAAAUAUGCUAUAAGGAAGCUUGAUGACUCUGAGUUUCGAAAUGCAUUUAGCCGGGCUUACAUACGGGUGAAGGAGUAUGAUUCAAGAUAUGAUUCUAAGCGCAGCUACUCUAGAAGUCCUAGUCGUAGCCCAUAUAGUCGAAGCCCUAGUCGCAGUUAUAGUUAUAGGAGCAGGAGCAGGAGCAGGAGCAGGAGCAGGAGCAGGAGCAAGUCUCCAAGGGCCAAAUACUUAACGGUAUCAAGGUCUGUCUCACCUCGUUCCCGUUCAGUGUCACCUGCCCGCUCCUAUUCGAGAUCUGGCUCUUUGCGGCAAUCCGUGGAUUGGAUGUUAGGAACUUUGAUGGGAUGUGGUGCUCAAAUGCCUGCAACUCAUUUAUUUUUUGGUUGAGAUCUCGAUCCAAAUCCAGAUCAAUCACUCCAUCUCCUCGCCCAUGGAAACGCAGUCCAAGUAGGAGCCAAAGUGUAACUCGUUCUCAUUCACCAUCUGAGAAAUCUGAAUGAUGAGAUGGAGAUGGAGAUUACAAAGACUAGCUCUUGAGCAUAAGAGUAGUUUAAUAUUUGGAUGCCACCUAUGAUGACAUUAAACCAUGAACCACUUCUUUGUUGUUAUAACAUAAUGGUUGGGACCUGAUGUGUAAUGGAUGGGAGGGAGAAAACAUUCUCUGGAUCCACCAAUUUUACAGCUUCUAAUUCUAAUAUUAUAAACAUUACGGAUUUUAUUUUAGAUAUUUUCAUUAAUAUUUUAUGGAAUACAUUAAACUUAGAUUA